UGAGGAAUAUUGGGCAAUGGGGGCAACCCUGACCCAGCCAUGCCGCGUGAGUGAAGAAGGUUUUCGAAUUGUAAAGCUCUUUCGGAUGUGAAGAUGAUGACGGUAGCAUCUAAAGAAGCCCCGGCAAACUUCGUGCCAGCAGCCGCGGUAAUACGAAGGGGGCGAGCGUUGUUCGGAAUUACUGGGCGUAAAGGGUGUGUAGGUUGACGUGUAAGAUAGCGGUGAAAUCCCAGAGCUCAACUUUGGAAUUGCCAUUAUAACUAUGCGUCUAGAAUUAUAGAGAGGAUAGCGGAAUACCCAGUGUAGAGGUGAAAUUCGUAGAUAUUGGGUAGAACACCGGUGGCGAAGGCGGCUAUCUGGCUAUAUAUUGACACUGAGGCACGAAAGCAUGGGGAUCAAACAGG
rnacentral:rRNA from 1 species